UCCCUUGGUACCCAUCCACCAUUGGAUCACCCACUGCACAGCUUUCAAAGCGCUAUAAUGUCACUCAUCCAUCUGCACAUCUCUCAAAGCGACCGGUGGACGAUCCAAUGGACAUUUCACGAUAUCCGGCACGUUCGGUGGUUAAGCCGGCUCAAGGCAUACCACCGGUCCGCCGCAUAACAACUCAGCGUCGCUCGCGUAGGAGCUGAGGCCGGAGCGCCAAAACCCUGAACCCAUACUUCUGGGGUUUAUUUCUACUGACGUCCAGGAGCUUCUCCUGUCACCAAGAGUUUAUCAUUUAAGCGCACGCGGCCAUGUAGCUUCAGUUCUACAUAAAUGAGAAUGGGGACAAGGUGUACACCACCAAGAAGGAAUCGCCUCUUGGUGUGGCAACACAAUCUGCUCAUCCAGGUACAAGUAAAAUGGUUUAUCAUAACUUGUCCGCUUGAUUAUUUACUUUUUUAAAAAUCUUUUAUAGAAAAUAAAAGACAGAGAUCUAAAAUCACAUUACUUCAUAAAUGUGAUGUCAUGAAGACAUCUCCGUGAAGUAUUUAAAUAAGAAAACAUCAUUGUUAGUUGCAUUUCUCCUUGUUAAUUAGACACUUUACUAGCAUUGUUAUGAUAUUUGCUUUGAAAUCCAUUUGCAAGAAUGAAGCAUCUGGAGUGUGUGAUAUUUGGUUUAAUAUUUCGAAAAAGUUGAGUGUGAAACUUGCCUGGGGUUUCACAGGCUGAAUAAACAAGUUAUGUCAGGUAAUUCCAUUGCUUCUGAUUGUGGCCAGACUAGUUUCUGAAGAUGCGAGUCCUAUUCAAUGUGGUACCUAGCCUAUAAUCAAAUGCAUAAUGCAUUAAAUGGGUAUUGGGUACAUUGCAUUGAUUAUAUUCUGUUGAUCUAAUCAUGCUUUUGACCCUGGACUGCUCAUUCGAGGUCAGUGCGUGUAGUUUAUGUAAGGACCAUUGAGUUGCACAUUGAUCAGAUCUUGAUACAGUAGCUUGCAUGUAAAACUAUUGAUAACAAUAGCUCUCAUCCUUUAUGCCCCUCAUUUAGAUGCAAAGGACCAAUGAAAACCUCCAAGUCAUGCCAGUGCAUUCCAUUACCAUUUGUAUCUCUUUUCUUUCGUGUUCCCACCAAAUGUUCCAACACUAUCUGUUGGGAGAAGGCUUUAUGGCUAUGGUUAUGGUCAGGGUUUAGUGCAUCGGUACCGGAGCUUGGAUUAGUCAGCCAGUGGUACGGUUUGGUACAUCCCUAUACCGUUUCAUAUUGAGUUUGAACUGACACAGCAGAGCGGAGGGAGAAGGAAAGAGAGGAAAAUGGAGAGAAGGGUGGAGGGAAGGAGAGG